UUUCUACUCCCUCCAUUCGGAAUUACUUGUCUUGGAUAUGGAUGUAUCUAGAACUAAAAUAUAUCUAGAUACAUCCGUUUCUGCGACAAGUAAUUCCGAACGGAGGGAGUAUAUA
rnacentral:pre_miRNA from 1 species